UUAUUAAAGAUCUGUCUCCUUUUUUGCUUCCGUUGGGGUUGAACGUCAAUGGAGAUGAGGUGGGGUAACCAUUUCGAAAUCAGGAAAGGAAGGCAAUCAAAUCAGCUGAAGCUAUUGAUUCAUUGAGCGUAUGAGGGAUAUGAAGACUAUAUUGGUGAUGCCCUUUUCACCAUUUUCUCCUGAAGACUCGUCAAGUAUCUUGAGGCCUGCAGGGGAAGUCACACGGGAUAAAGCGACAUAGAGCUGUCCAUGGCUGAAUACGCUUCGUGGCAAAUACAGUGCAACUUGUUUGAGGCUCUGGCCCUGGCUCUUGUUAAUGGUCAUUGCAUAACAUAGCCGUAUUGGGUACUGACGGCGGCGGAAUGUAAAUGGGUGAACAGACACGUUUGGUGUCAACUGGAUCCUUGGUAUAAGUACCUCCUCUCCUAUAUGUGUCCCUGUCAUGAUCCUUGCUGCUAUGAUUCUUUGUCCAAGCCUGGUAAUGAUUAAUCUUGUCCCAUUGCAUUGUCCGUUUUUCUGGUUGAGGUUUCGAAGCAUCAUCACGGGGGCUCCAACUUUCAGACAUAAGCGGUGGGUUGGUAAGCCUUGGAAUUCCAGAGAAUUAAGGUAUUCUUGGGUGUAGUUUGAUGUCCAGUCACCCGCAAGUGGGGUUGCCUCAUGCGCAAUACUAUCAGAGCUCAAGUACUCUUUCAUUUUUGAAGGAACCAAUGAGAGAAUGAAAGAAUUUAUCUGGUGGGCUGUAUCGUUGGUUGGAGUUAAUAUUGCCCUCUCUCUUAAGUACUGGGGGUUAUGGUAGUUGCUUGUGAAGUCUGGAUAGGCGGCAUCCGUUAGAGAGCGUUCUGGUUGCCCUGAAUUUGGAAUCAUGAAUUCAGUAGGUAUUGCGAUCUGAUCUCCUUCUCCGUGUUUAUCAGAUAAGCUAUCCACAGUUGCAGCUGUACCAUUCCCAACUUGGAGUAUCCAGUCAGCAAAGUCUUUGUCCUCCUUUUGCAGCCGCAUAUUAACCGUUAGAGUGAACAUCGUUGCAUGUCGCCACAGAUAGGACCUGCUUAAUGACGCUAAGACCGUGUCUUCUCUGCUGCCUUGCGCAAUGACAGGAAGUAUUUGCCUAAAAUCCCCACCGAGUAAAACUGUCUUCCCGCCGAAUGGUUUAUCUGCUAGUGCAACAUCAUCCACUGACAAUAGAUCCCUGAGGGUGCGGUCAACUGUUUCAAACGUGUGCCGGUGAGCCAUCGGAGCCUCAUCCCAAAUGAUUAGAUCAGCUUUCGCUAUUAAGUCAGCAAGCAUCGUUCCAGGGCUGAUCUCACACACUGUUUCUUCACUGAGAUUUAAUGGCAGCUUGAACCUUGAGUGGGCAGUCCUUCCUCCUGGAAGAAGGAGCGCUGCAAUGCCUGACGAUGCAACUGGUAUAACGAUCUUCUUCUCAGACCGGAGCUUGGAUAUCAGAGUCCUAUAUAAGUAGGUUUUACCCGUCCCACCCGGACCGUAAACAAAGAAUAGCUUUCCGGUCUUCUUCUCAACAGACUCCAAAACCGCAUCAUAUAUCGUUCUCUGCUCUGAAUUCAUGCCAACAUAUAGGUUGUCGUGCUCAGAUCGUUGCUGCUCCACGUCAGAAUGUCCUCAGCCAAAUGUCUCCAGACAUGGUUCCACAACUUCAGCGGGUUACCAACCUCGCAGUAGAUCAAGAGAAGCACGAACAAUCGUCGUAUUUGUCUUCCAGUUGCCCAAUAUGAUGCUUCAUCUACAGCUUCAUGCCACUCCUUAUCAUCGUCUAGUAACCCUCUAGCGUAACAUACGUCCCGGAUCUCUUCGUACAGAACAUCACCAACGGUGUAGAGGUCCUCAUAACAUCUUGGACCUCGUAUGACAUUUACCAAAAUCCUCAAGUAAUAGACAUCUCCAGCAGAUGGGGGAAUAUAAGUUAUCCUUCCUAUUGCAGUCCCCUUUUGUCUUGGCGUCCAGAUGACUUCAUCACUGUGGUAUGUAAACCUACUCGGAAAUUCGAUAAAGGGAGGUGUAUAUGUAGCUUCAUGACAGACGGCUGAUUAUGAUGGAUGUGGAAUGAAAAGAGUCUCCAGGCUGACUCACAGGCUGAAAGAUAACGACAUUCCAUGAAGUUGUCCACCUCGUUCACUGGCUCAGCACCACUCGACAUUUAUAUGAGCUUUGUAUUUCCUCAGAAGCUGUAGAUUGUGGGGUACAACAUAUUCAUUACCCACCUGUUCAUCACUUUCCACCAUUAGUCCAGAUGUAUUAUCUCUUCUCCUGUACACUACAAACCCGGACUUAUCGAUCAUUGUAUACUCUGUCAGUGGUUUUGGGUAGCUCUUUGUGCACUUCCCGUUCUCCAUACAGGGUGACUUUGGGCGGGCAACUCCGCAAGGGCCGUGCAUCAUAUGGCGCUUCACCAACUCAAAGCCCUCAGGGUCUGUCAGCUUGUUUGGUAGCUCUGCAGAGAUGUACUGAUCUAUCAUUGCUGGGGUAGGCUCAACUCUUGUUGUGUCAAACCACAACAGAAUAUGCGCAUGGGGAAGUCCACGCUUCUGGAACUCAAUGGUGUAGACAACUGCGUUCAAGUAAAGUAGAUGAUCACUUAUUUCUACCCAGUUCGGAUUAGCAGUGACUGUGAUGAAGAGAUUUGGGUUCCCAUACCAUCUACAGAUGGCCAUAGCAUCCUGGUAUUUUUCUGCCAUAUAUCGGGGGCCUGCUGUGAAAGAAGAAGUGUAAGCGUCGACAAUAUACUGGUGCAGCAGGCGUCCAGACUUAAUAAGGGUCAUUCCCUCUCCUAACCGGGCUCACCAUACGGGAAUAGGAUAGGGUACUGCAAACUCAUGAGUAAGGGAUUUAAAUCGCUAAUCCUUUGUAGACCUGAAGAUUUAAACUCCACAACGAUAUCUUUUGCUAAAGAAUCAACGGAGAAGUCACCAACAAUUAGUCCAGCGAUCUCAUCUGAUGUGGGGAGGUCAUAUUGGCGACCUCGGUGUCGUUGGCUUUUGAGUGUGAUGGUGAAUUCUUCUGUUUUAGAAGCUUCAUAACGAUCUCGAGCGUGGCGGAAUGUCUUGGCUAGGGGGUUGUGUUCGUCUAACAUGUGUAUCAGCUCUGAAAGUGUUUUAUCAUCAAUUGUAGCAGCUGUGCUUCCUCCCAGAAAAGCUUUCUUCCUGUUUGCGACCUCAUUCUGUGUGUCAAAUAUGAACAACUGAAGGAAAGCAGGGGAUUUUCCUUCUGGUGGUAGCAGAGACCCUAUUCGAUGGAGAACCUGGCCGUGGAUUCUGAAAGUAAAAGGUCCUUGUGUGCCUGUUACUGUGUGAUCUAUCUGAGCACCCAUUGAUGUGAAGGCAAGCAUUCCGUUAGCAACUCUUAUAUGUUGCCUGAAUCUUGGUGUGUCCAGAAGCUCUUUUAGUGGUGAUGGUGGUUGUCGUACUGGAGGUAGUUUAACACGACCUUGCUGGCAGCAAAUACUGAACCGUUUGGUUUCCAUUUGUGUUCCGCUUCCCACAGACUCAGCGCCCCAAACCAAAGCACCACACUGAAGACAUGACAUCAACUCCCAUUUAUCUACUUUUUUUUUGGGUCUCACUCCUGCAAUUGUGUUUGAAAAUUGGAGUCUAUGUUGGUACAUACGCUAAAGACAAAUGAUAGUGGGGGUAGAUUUUGUGAAUACCUGCAUCCCUUGGAAGACGCUUAGCAAUACCUGGCGUAGUGAAAAUCAGUUUGUUGCACUGGAGCUGCCGAUGUUGUAUUCCUCGGGAAUCCGCAAAGCUGUCUUUGAUUUUGAGCAUGAAAGUGUUGUCGAGGUCUGGGCUCUACGUUGAUUUGCGGGAAGGUUGACAGAUGGACCGGCGUCUUGCUCUAGCUGAUUUUCCCAAGGACUCUGCAAAUGUUUCAGGAUCAAUGUAAAUAUAGGGUGGCGCUAGAAUGGAUUCUAAUAUUCUCAAACACACCUUCAGAAGCUACGGAAGGACUGCACGGCCGUGGAAUGUACUCGGUUCUUAACCAUGGUCGUCUGUCCAAAUGUUUAGCAACACCUGCAUAAGUGAGCGUUUGUGACAGAGCAUGUGAGGGUUGGAGGCUGAAGCGUUGUGAUCGUCUGCUUGCCUUCACAGAACUUGAUCCUGGAUCCCCGGCGGUGCUGGGAUUUUUCUUCUUUCCCAUUUAAGUUUGUAUAUUUGGAGCUUGCGAAUAUCAGAGAUAUUUGAGUGAGGCCUGUAUGUACGUAGCUUGUAUCGGUGAGGGUCUGCUCAUAUGGUAGUAUCUACUUUCAUUUGGCUUUUUGUUUUCUAGGACAAUCGGUAUAGAUAGCUUUGGUUUUUUUUUUGGUAUGUCGAACAUUAAAGUCUUUUAUUAUUGGACUUAACGUAUUCUGAGUCGAAUCUUUGAUAACGGUUUUAUAAUUAAAGACGUUAUAAGUUUGGAAUA